GAGAUAGAGUCUUCCCCUUCGGGGGACAAAGUGACAGGUGGUGCAUGGUUGUCGUCAGCUCGUGUCGUGAGAUGUUGGGUUAAGUCCCGCAACGAGCGCAACCCUUAAGCUUAGUUGCCAGCAUUAAGUUGGGCACUCUAAGUUGACUGCCGGUGACAAACCGGAGGAAGGUGGGGAUGACGUCAAAUCAUCAUGCCCCUUAUGAUUUGGGCUACACACGUGCUACAAUGGACAAUACAAAGGGCAGCUAAACCGCGAGGUCAUGCAAAUCCCAUAAAGUUGUUCUCAGUUCGGAUUGUAGUCUGCAACUCGACUACAUGAAGCUGGAAUCGCUAGUAAUCGUAGAUCAGCAUGCUACGGUGAAUACGUUCCCGGGUCUUGUACACACCGCCCGUCACACCACGAGAGUCUGUAACACCCGAAGCCGGUGGAGUAACCAUUUAUGGAGCUAGCCGUCGAAGGUGGGACAAAUGAUUGGGGUGAAGUCAUAACAAGGUAGCCGUAUCGGAA
rnacentral:rRNA from 1 species